AGCGAACGCUGGCGGCAGGCCUAACACAUGCAAGUCGAACGAACUCUUCGGAGUUAGUGGCGGACGGGUGAGUAACACGUGGGAACGUGCCUUUAGGUUCGGAAUAACUCAGGGAAACUUGUGCUAAUACCGAAUGUGCCCUUCGGGGGAAAGAUUUAUCGCCUUUAGAGCGGCCCGCGUCUGAUUAGCUAGUUGGUGAGGUAAAGGCUCACCAAGGCGACGAUCAGUAGCUGGUCUGAGAGGAUGAUCAGCCACAUUGGGACUGAGACACGGCCCAAACUCCUACGGGAGGCAGCAGUGGGGAAUCUUGCGCAAUGGGCGAAAGCCUGACGCAGCCAUGCCGCGUGAAUGAUGAAGGUCUUAGGAUUGUAAAAUUCUUUCACCGGGGACGAUAAUGACGGUACCCGGAGAAGAAGCCCCGGCUAACUUCGUGUCAGCAGCCGCGGUAA
rnacentral:rRNA from 1 species